rnacentral:lncRNA from 1 species
UAUGUCUUCAUCUUCCAUAAAAGGCAACCUGGCCCACCUGCCUUCAAGGCUGAAAUUAAAGACUCAAGCCAGGAGAGGUGACAGCAUGCCAGAUGGAUGUGUCUCAAGGCGAACGCUUGCCUCCAUCCUGGCCGCCACCGCCCCGGCUCAGGGACGCCUGCCUGGGCUCAGUGGCUGGACGGACCCCCCACCCUCCUCACCCUGACCCCAUCGUCUCCCUCAGGAAUGCUAAAGAAACCCGUCAAAGGUAGAAUUUCCAGCACGUCCUUUCCCCACUCGAAGAAUGCCUCUCGCUCUCAGAAAUGGGAGCAAAGACCUCUCCUUGGAAUCAGAGCCACAAAGCAUGUGCCGGACACACCUGAGUCGGAGAAGAGAUGAACGGGAGCUGUUUAUUCAUCAACCUGAGCAGGGGACCGUCUGUGGUCACCCCGGGUCCCACAGGAGUCGGAGGUGCCAGAAAGGAGCCAGUUCUAUAGAGGAAAAGGAGGAAGGACCCAGACAAUCCCGCCGGCAAGCAUCCUCUACAGGGGGUUUUGGAGGUGGGCAGACUUUCCAAUGGGUCCGGGGCACAUUGGGCUGCCCAGGGCAAGCAGCAGUUGGGCGACUCCCAAAGAGGAAGGAUGGGUCGAUGUUUGGGGCCGAAGGGCUCUGCGGCAGCCGUUUCCUUCCAAGCGGGAGGCCAUGGGGAGCCAUUUUGCGGUCAAUCUGUGAUCGUCGUUGACUCGGGGGCGGCUGGAGGCCGGGUCUCACUGGCCUCGGCCGUCACCACCCUCCCAGGGCGCGGUCUGUGCAGAGCAGGGCCACGCUCCUACCCCGGGACGCUGCCGGCCCCAACAGGUGCUCCACACAGUCCUUCCCGACUCCUCGCGGGAUUUCGGAGAGGGCAUGCAGACGUUCCGAUCCGCCCCCUGUGACGGACAGAAAUCCGCUCAAGGCGGCCACCAAACUUUUGGGAAAUGUUUUCUAAAGGCAUCUCUUUCUUAAUUAAACACAUUUUGGAAAGUUAGCAUAUUAUGGUUCAAACCGGCCUGGGGCAAAGCGGGGAUGUGAGUGGACGCCCCUUAUGGCCUCGUUGGGUAACCCCGAAGACAACUCACUUAUAAGGGGAAGGGGCUGUAGGGGUGAGGUGGGGGCUGGGCAGGGUUAGCUCAGGGCUUUUAUCAGCAGAAAAGACUCCUCCGGCCUCAGCCCAGCCCAGCCCUGCACGGGUGGGGAUGUCCA